rnacentral:rRNA from 1 species
GAUGAACGCUGGCGGCGUGCUUAACACAUGCAAGUCGAACGAAGCACCUUGAUUUGAUUCUUCGGAUGAAGAUCCUGGUGACUGAGUGGCGGACGGGUGAGUAACGCGUGGGUAACCUGCCUCAUACAGGGGGAUAACAGUUAGAAAUGACUGCUAAUACCGCAUAAGACCACAGCACCGCAUGGUGCAGGGGUAAAAACUCCGGUGGUAUGAGAUGGACCCGCGUCUGAUUAGGUAGUUGGUGGGGUAACGGCCUACCAAGCCGACGAUCAGUAGCCGACCUGAGAGGGUGACCGGCCACAUUGGGACUGAGACACGGCCCAAACUCCUACGGGAGGCAGCAGUGGGGAAUAUUGCACAAUGGGGGAAACCCUGAUGCAGCGACGCCGCGUGAGCGAUGAAGUAUUUCGAUAUGUAAAGCUCUAUCAGCAGGGAAGAAAAUGACGGUAC